rnacentral:rRNA from 1 species
AUUGAACGCUGGCGGCAGGCCUAACACAUGCAAGUCGAAUGGUAACAGGAAACAGCUUGCUGUUUCGCUGACGAGUGGCGGACGGGUGAGUAAUGUCUGGGAAACUGCCUGAUGGAGGGGGAUAACUACUGGAAACGGUAGCUAAUACCGCAUAACGUCGCAAGACCAAAGAGGGGGACCUUCGGGCCUCUUGCCAUCAGAUGCGCCCAGAUGGGAUUAGCUAGUAGGUGGGGUAACGGCUCACCUAGGCGACGAUCCCUAGCUGGUCUGAGAGGAUGACCAGCCACACUGGAACUGAGACACGGUCCAGACUCCUACGGGAGGCAGCAGUGGGGAAUAUUGCACAAAGGGCGCAAGCCUGAUGCAGCCAUGCCGCGUGUAUGAAGAAGGCCUUCGGGUUGUAAAGUACUUUCAGCGGGGAGGAAGGGAGUAAAGUUAAUACCUUUGCUCAUUGACGUUACCCGCAGAAGAAGCACCGGCUAACUCCGUG